rnacentral:lncRNA from 10 species
UUUACCAAAUGGAAUAUGGAAAAGAUGUGGCCUCUGAGGUUGUUAUAAAACAACUGUGACUUCAUGGGGCUCUCCGUCCCUCACUCUCUGCAAAUCUCUCACUCUGGGGCAACAGGCUCCCCCCCCGUGAGCUGCCCCGUGGAGAAGCCCAUGAGGCAUGGAACCCAGAACCUAAGACCUGCCAGCGCCCCCUGUGUAAGCCUGGACGCCAUCCUCCCGAGUCGGGCCUGGAGAGGGCCCCAGCCCCAGCCCCAGACCCAGCCGACGCUCUGAAUGACACCCCACGAAAGGCCUUGAGUGAGAGAACGCAGGUGCCACUCCACCUGCCUGCUUUAUUUCCACAUCAGAAAAUGAUCAGG